rnacentral:rRNA from 1 species
AUUGAACGCUGGCGGCAUGCCUUACACAUGCAAGUCGAACGGCAGCGGGGGAGAAGCUUGCUUUUCCUGCCGGCGAGUGGCGAACGGGUGAGUAAUACAUCGGAACGUGCCCUGUAGUGGGGGAUAACUAGUCGAAAGAUUAGCUAAUACCGCAUACGACCUGAGGGUGAAAGUGGGGGACCGCAAGGCCUCAUGCUAUAGGAGCGGCCGAUGUCUGAUUAGCUAGUUGGUGGGGUAAAGGCCUACCAAGGCGACGAUCAGUAGCUGGUCUGGAAGGACGAUCAGCCACACUGGGACUGAGACACGGCCCAGACCCCUACGGGAGGCAGCAGUGUGGAAUUUUGGACAAUGGGCGAAAGCCUGAUCCAGCAAUGCCGCGUGUGCGAAGAAGGCCUUCGGGUUGUAAAGCACUUUUGUCCGGAAAGAAAUGGCUCUGGUUAAUACCUGGGGUCGAUGACGGUACCGGAAGAAUAAGGACCGGCUAACUACGUGCCAGCCGCCGCGGUAA